GACGAACGCUGGCGGCGUGCUUAACACAUGCAAGCCGAACGGAAAGGCCCUGCUUUUGUGGGGUGCUCGAGUGGCGAACGGGUGAGUAACACGUGAGUAACCUGCCCUUGACUUUGGGAUAACUUCAGGAAACUGGGGCUAAUACCGGAUAGGAGCUCCUGCUGCAUGGUGGGGGUUGGAAAGUUUCGGCGGUUGGGGAUGGACUCGCGGCCUAUCAGCUUGUUGGUGGGGUAGUGGCUUACCAAGGCUUUGACGGGUAGCCGGCCUGAGAGGGUGACCGGCCACAUUGGGACUGAGAUACGGCCCAGACUCCUACGGGAGGCAGCAGUGGGGAAUAUUGCACAAUGGGCGGAAGCCUGAUGCAGCAACGCCGCGUGCGGGAUGACGGCCUUCGGGUUGUAAACCGCUUUCGCCUGUGACGAAGCGUGAGUGACGGUAAUGGGUAAAGAAGCACCGGCUAACUACGUG
rnacentral:rRNA from 1 species